rnacentral:misc_RNA from 1 species
UUUUGAAAACCUCCAAAACCUUCCAUUUUCUAACUCAACAUAUCAGUGGGUUGAGAAGAUUUUCUCUUCAAAACCUUCAAAUAACUUCAAAAAUCUUCCCUUCCUCUUAAAAAACAAAAAAAUUAUAAAGGUUCAAAAAUCAUAAAAAAUAUACUUUAAAAAACUUUACGCUAAUUCCUUCUAAACAGAGUGUAAUUCUUCAUUUUAUAAUAAUAUGAUACUUAGCCGACCCCAAAUUUUUGGG